CAAAUUUACCUAACCCAAUUGUUUGAAAACCUUGUCAAAACAAUUUAUCUGGUUUUCAAUUGUUACAUAGAGUCUAAACCACUUUAACUUCACCCUCACGCCUCUACUUCAUCAUCCACGCACAGGCUUAUAUAUAUAUAUAAUAAGAUGGGUUUAUAAGCAUUACUUCCUAAGAGUAUCCUUUCUUAGCACUCUUAAUGGUUCAUUUCAACAAAACCAAAAGUCCUUGUUUGGAGCAGAGCAUCGUUGCGAGUGCUAAUCACCUAGCACGGUGCUUUCCCUGACCAGCCAAUGAGGUUCGUUCACAGCUUGUUUUUCUCAAGAGUUGGCUCCCUAUAUAAAUUUCAGUGACCUUGGAAAAUUAUCUCAUACACGUACUGCUUGUUUCUCUCCUACUUCUCUUUUGCUUUCCAUUAAUGAUAAUACUCUGGAAUGAUAUAUUUUUAUGUAUUAAUUACAUAUUUAUUUUGAGUAUCCUACUAAUUUUAGCUAUUUAUAGUUUUUUAUCUUGUAGGGACUAAAUUGAAGGUAAAAGGAAAUUUAGGAGCAAAAAUCAUGAAUUUGAAGAUAAAAUGAGACAGCAUGUGAAAUAGGAAAGAAGUGGUGCCGAAAAUACAAAUUGUGGAAGACUUGGGGGCAACAGUUCAAAGAAGAAAUUUUAUAAACAUAAGACUCUAUUUAAAUUUUAAUUAUAUGAGGAUUAUUGUUAAGAUUAUUAUUUAGAGUUAAUUUCGGUUUUUAUCUUUAUUUAUCUUUUAGAAUUUAGAUAGGAAUAAAUUAAGUCUUUUGAGUACUAUAAAUAGGGGAUGGAGUGAUAUAAAUUUCACUCAUCUUUUCGGUAAAAAUUCUCUCUCCCAAAAAGCUCUAGCCUUUGUUCCUUUCAUUUAUUCAAUAAAAUUCUAUUUUUUAAGUUUAUUUCUUUUUCUCAAAAAGCAUGAGUCACUAAAUUCAUUUAGCCAAAGUUUAUUGAGAUUCCUCAAAAGGGUUGAUGAAGCUUAGAAUCCGCACUAAGCCUUUUCAACGAGUAUUCAUCGUUUCUCUGUACUACGGGAUUGACGCUUUUGUCCAUGUCCCUUCAAAAGUGAUAUUUUCAUCUUGUGCAAAGACGACCGCUUUGUUUUUGGAAGGUUACACAAUCGAUUUGUUAGCUUAUUAUGUCAGUGGUUGUCGAGCCCAAGAGACAAAAUGGCGUGGCAUUCGCCAUUGAGAAGUGAUGAUCUAGUGUAAGACAGUCUCACAAAAGCGACGGUUGACUAGAGUUAGGUUCUCUUAAAUUUUAAGUCUAAAAUCUAAGUGGAGCUGGUGGUUGUAGGUGUCCUCUUCCACUAUAAUUGGCUUAUUCUGUUUGAGAAUGAUCACCUAAAAGCCUAGGAUUGAACCAAAGGAGGAUCAAGAUAAAUGGAGGUUGGAAUAUCUCCAUCAAAAACUCUUUUUUCUCAACUUUGUUUAUUUUUACAAUUUCAAUUUCAAUUUGCACUAUCUCAAUUCAACCAAACUUUUAAUUUUUUUUUAUUUUUUUCCAGGCACGCUAUUUUUCUUGGGCAUGACUUUACCUGAGAUCUUGAGGAACAAGAACUUGUACAAGUCCAGUCUCUGAGGAUUUGACCCUACUUCCCUUAUACUAUUCUUUUCGUUAAGGAUAGGAUAUUUUGUUGCUUUCAAUGACGCAUCAGUUAAGCUUGUCACUUUGUUCUCAAUUAAUCUCAUUAUUAAGUUCUUUAUGUUUCUACAUAUUACUACAAGAAUAUCAUUCACCAAUGAUUUUUUUUUAUGCUAUAUAAGUUCUCCUUCAAAGGGGGUGGAAGGGUGUUCUUGAUAUUUACUAAUUUGAAGUUAACAAAGGAAUUAAUAAUGAUCUCAACAUAUGUUUUCAGAAUCAAAACAUACAAUUUUAACUAGUUAAUCACUUUUGCUUUGGAUCUCAUGCAUAUUUAGAC
rnacentral:lncRNA from 1 species